rnacentral:misc_RNA from 1 species
UAUACAUUUAAAUUUCUUUAUUAAUUUCUUAUAUAUAAUUUAUAUUAAAUAUAAAAAUAUAUUUUUUAAAUAAAAAGACGAUAAGACCCUAUUAAAUUUUACUUAUAGUUUAACUGGGGAAGUUUUAAAAAUAAAAUUUUUUAUAAAAAUAAAAAUAAAUCUAAUAAAAUUAAAAUUAAAUUAAAUUACUAUAGGGAUAACAGCAUUAUAUUUUUUAAAAGUUCAUAUUAAAAAAAAUGAUUGUGACCUCGAUGUUGAAUUAUAUUUUCUUUAUUAAUGCAAUAAUUAUAAAAGUAGAUCUGUUCGAUCUUUAAAAUAUUACAUGAUUUGAGUUCAAACCGGUGUAAACCAGGUUGGUUUCUAUCUUUUUAUAAAUUCAUAUAUAUAUAUAUAUAUAUACAUAAAUUUUUCAAGUACGAAAGGAAAAAAAAAUUUUUAUUUUAAUUAAUUAGCAAUUAAUAUGCAUUAGAUUUAGAAUCUAAAUAAACUAUUAUU